CGAACCGUCCAAACGUUAUUCGGAAUCACUGGGCUUAAAGGGUACGUAGGCGGCGCUGUCAGUCGGGUGUGAAAUCCCACGGCUCAACCGUGGAAUUGCGCCCGAUACUGCAGUGCUUGAGGGAGACAGAGGUAAGCGGAACUGAUGGUGGAGCGGUGAAAUGCGUUGAUAUCAUCAGGAACACCGGUGGCGAAAGCGGCUUACUGGGUCUCUUCUGACGCUGAGGUACGAAAGCUAGGGGGAGCGAAGGGGAUUAGAUACCCCGUAGUCCUAGCUGUAAACGUUGAGCACUUGAUCGAGGGCCCCCCCAUAGGCUCCCGGUCGUAGCGAAAGUGUUAAGUGCUCCGCCUGGGGAGUAUGGUCGCAAGGCUG
rnacentral:rRNA from 1 species